GGCUCCGGCGGUAUCCUACAUCCGUGGUGACUCUAGAGCUAAAAGAAAGAAAAACGCGCUGUGCUUACCAGGUGUGCGCCCUGAUCCUGGCGCCCCCAGCCAGCCGCUGGUCGCGGGCUUCCAGCGCUCGCGUGGCGGUCUCGGCUGCAGCUGGAGCGCUAGUGGCGGCGAUGGAGGCAGCGGUGGCGAGUGGACCCUUUUGAAGUCAUGGUUGUUCCAGGAAGAAUCCCUUGAAUGCUCCCCUCCAGCUAAGGUCACAAAAGGAAAGGGGGCCCUGGUCACUAUAGCAAAGUGGACUGAACACUUAUUGAGAAGCCAUUGAAGUGGUGGUCAACGAGGACCUCCUAACUAAAUGGGAUCUCCUUAUAACAAGAACACUGCGUGCCGGUGACAGAAGAAAUGGCAGCUGCAAAGAAAU
rnacentral:lncRNA from 1 species